rnacentral:rRNA from 1 species
UACGGAGGAUCCGAGCGUUAUCCGGAUUUAUUGGGUUUAAAGGGUGCGUAGGCGGCCUGUUAAGUCAGGGGUGAAAGACCGUAGCUCAACUAUCGCAGUGCCCUUGAUACUGGCGGGCUUGAAUGGACUAGAGGUAGGCGGAAUGAGACAAGUAGCGGUGAAAUGCGUAGAUAUGGCUCAGAACACCGAUUGCGAAGGCAGCUUACUAGGGUGCUAUUGACGCUGAGGCACGAAAGCGUGGGGAUCGAACAGG